UUACCACUGAGGAGUCCCAUACUGGGACGAAACCAUCGUCCAGUAA
rnacentral:hammerhead_ribozyme from 1 species